AGUUCUACUGUCGUUUGAGUUCUACUGUCGCACACAAAGAAAUUUUAAAAAUUAUUUCAAAUAUUGUGGUUCUAUUGUCGAUGGAGUUCUUCUGUCUUUUGACUUUUGAGUUGUACGGUCGCCAUACCAAAGUAAAUUGCGUUAUGGACUUGGGGUGUCAGAGGUGUCCAAUAGAUGGCGUUUCAUGUGAUGGCGGAUUGUUGUAUCAGUGUUUGUCAAAAGUUUUCCUGUUUUUCCAUGAAAAUUACCGAUGAAUUCAUCAGUAAAUUCAAGUUCUUUUCUGUGCAACUUGUUUGCGAUGUUAUUUAUUCUUAUGUGUGCUGGAUCAAAUUAAAAAUUCCUCAAUCUUACCUGCAGGAAGGAACGGGAAAGGACAGUAGCAUACAAGCAGCCUAACAUCACUACCACCAUCUCUUUUAUUAAAAAUCUUCGUUCUGCUGAAUGCAUCAUGCAGUCAAAACAGCAGUUUCUAUUGAUCUUGGUAGGUCACUACCCCAGUGUGGACAUGUUUGUUUUUCUGAACAUGUUUUUCAACAAACAAUUCAUUGACGUACAAGUAUUAUUCUUCUUUCGGUUGUAAACUGUUAUUUGAUGUCAUAGAUUGUAUUUUCUAUCAUGGGGAAUAAUAUGAAAAAUAUCAUUUCAUCUAGGCCAUGGGUAAUCUUCAGGUCUUUGCAGCAGCUUAAGAGAAGAAUAUGAACAAAUGCAGGGCAACUUACCAACAUGUGUUGUAUUUUUCUGAAUGUUAAACACGAGCAGUAGAUUCAACAUGACUAACUGUUGGAUGCCAAAGUUAGUUGGAACUCAACUCACUGUACAUACUCUAACACAGAUAACUCUGGUGAUGUUGCCUUACAGCCACAUGCAGGAAAAUGAUUGUUUUCUUCAGAAAAUUGUAAGUUUAAUUUUUUUCUUGACCACCAACACUUUCUGUUAAUAUUAUAGAUUUUUAUGUUGAAAGAGUUACAAAGUCUGAAAAGCUAACUUCAUUCUUCAUGGUUUAACUUCAUGGUGUUCAUGCUCAUUUGAUUCAUUUCGUGCCAGCUAGUGAAAGCCGAAAGGCAUGUCGAAUGUCGAAUUCAAUCCAGCCGUUGCGUUCAGUCAUUUGGAACAGGAGUCUAAUGGCUGUGAAUAAGUGGCUGAAAUGAUGUCCACCAGGUGGCGCGAAUCUCUUCGGGGACGCUAAGCGGCCAUUUUGAUCCAAGACGCAGCAGAGAUGGGUUGUUGGUUGUGACGUUUCUCACGAUGAAAAUUAAAAGGUGAUUUAGCACGUAAAAACCAAGUUGCCAAAUCAUUCAAAUCAGACUUGGAAGUGCCUGUACAUUUCCGAAAUGGCGUGCCUCGUGUGUCUCGGUGCCUGUUCUUAGACGUACCGUCUCAUCCCAUGUAACAGCAAUAAAUAUAACAAACACUUCUUUAACGCUGGUGGUGGUUACCUUGUUGCAGCCAAAUGGUGAAAGGUGUGACGAAGACAGAUUGAACCAUUGUAUGGAGCAUGCGGUUGCAGUUCAAUCCAGAAGUUGCUGUGCUGUUGCAGCUGAGCUGUUCCAU